GGUGCCAACAGGUCGACCGACUGGCAGGAGUCUGCCGGGUGCUCCCGCCUAAACUGAAACGCUGGGCGCGCCGAGUCUCAGUUUCCUCUACUGUGAAACAGGAUGGUUGUGAGGCUUCGAAGUAAAAUGAUGCAGUGUUGGCAUGAAUGAAAUAUAGGAUGAUUCAUCCAAUGAGAAUUUGAAUGCUGGUGGAAGACUGUGCAGAAAAUCCAGGAAGAACUGGCCCAAGGCAGGUCCCGGGACUUCAGAGACUGAAAUCCAUCACUUCCUCCAAAGGGCUGCCAUUAAUGACUCAGCUACCAACUCCCAAUCACUGUAGCUCUGUUUAAAUCUAAA